rnacentral:tRNA from 1 species
CGGGGCGUAGCGUAGUCUGGCUAGCGCGCUUGGUUCGGGUCCAAGAGGUCGUGAGUUCAAAUCUCACCGCCCCGACCA